UACGGUGGGAGCAAGCGUUGUUCGGAUUUACUGGGCGUAAAGGGCGCGUAGGCGGCGUAACAAGUCACUUGUGAAAUCUCCGGGCUUAACCCGGAGCGGCCAAGUGAUACUGUUGUGCUAGAGUGCGGAAGGGGCUACUGGAAUUCUCGGUGUAGCGGUGAAAUGCGUAGAUAUCGAGAGGAACACCUGCGGCGAAGGCGGGUAGCUGGGCCGACACUGACGCUGAGGCGCGAAAGCCAGGGGAGCAAACGGG
rnacentral:rRNA from 1 species